CCAGCUGGUGGCGCUGUCUUUACCGACUAAUAACACCAACGAAGAAGAGGAAGCUAAUCCGUGCAGCUAGCAAUCCGACAAUAAACAAACAGAAACUAACACGAACAUGUCAGCCGAUACCAAGAUCGCAGAGCUGCUCACAGAGCUCCAUCAGCUCAUCAAACAGACCCAGGAGGAGAGAUCCCGAAGUGAACACAAUCUACUGAACAUCCAGAAAACACACGAGAGGAUGCAGACGGAAAACAAGAGUCAGUCACACACACACACACACACACACAGACACACAGAGACACACAGAGACACACACACACA